GAUGAACGCUGACCGAAUGCUUAACACAUGCAAGUCAUUGGCGAAGCUGCGCUUGCGCAGUCUAGCCAAGGCGGACGGGUGAGUAACGCGUAAGGAACUUGCCCUGCAGACAGGGAUAACAGACGGAAACGACUGAUAACACCUGGUAUUGUCAGGCUGGCGCAUGCCGGCCUGAUGAAAGGAGACGCUGCAGGAGAGCCUUGCGUCCUAUUAGCUAGUUGGUGGGGUAACGGCCCACCAAGGCGAUGAUAGGUAGCCGGCCGGAGAGGGUGAACGGCCACAAGGGGACUGGGAGACGGCAGUGGCGACUACGGGAGGCAGCAGUGGAGAAUAUUGGAGAAUGGGGGCAACCGUGAUGAAGCACUUCUGUGUGCACAAAGAUGUUUUUCGGAUUGUAAAGUGCUUUCAGAAGGGAAGAAGAAAGUGACGGUACCUGCAGAAGAAGCGACGGCUAAAUACGUG
rnacentral:rRNA from 1 species